rnacentral:rRNA from 1 species
UGGGGAAUAUUGCACAAUGGGCGAAAGCCUGAUGCAGCGACGCCGCGUGCGGGAUGAAGGCCUUCGGGUUGUAAACCGCUUUUAAUUGGGAGCAAGCGAGAGUGAGUGUACCUUUUGAAUAAGCACCGGCUAACUACGUGCCAGCAGCCGCGGUAAUACGUAGGGUGCAAGCGUUAUCCGGAAUUAUUGGGCGUAAAGAGCUCGUAGGCGGUUUGUCACGCCUGGUGUGAAAGUCCAUCGCUUAACGGUGGAUCUGCGCCGGGUACGGGCAGGCUAGAGUGCAGUAGGGGAGAUUGGAAUUCCCGGUGUAACGGUGGAAUGUGUAGAUAUCGGGAAGAACACCAAUGGCGAAGGCAGAUCUCUGGGCUGUUACUGACGCUGAGGAGCGAAAGCAUG